CGAGUUACUGUGCACGGAUGAUGUACUUCACGAGAUUCAGAGUCAUAAACUAACAAAACAACCAGUCAGAUGUCUGAUUCAUGUGGCUAUACUCCUUUAUACCACAUGCAUGCAUCAGCACAAUACUGCCGGCUUUGUCUGCGUGGACAGCUGAAAUUCAAAUGUCCACUAUGAAAAUAUUCACGGGUGAGUUGCUAAAUAAUUUGAACACAAUACAUUCUAUUAAUUCCAGGAUACAAGGCAGAAAGCAUCCUCAGCAUGCACAAGCUUAAUCACAAGUGACACCAUCCUUGUUGAGCUCUAUCUUGGUGUAAACAGGCUAUAGGACAAAAUAAUUAGCCGUAUAGAGACAUGCUCCUAUUUACGAUGAGAUCUCAGCAGCUGUUAAGACGAAUAGGGAUAUCACCACAGAACACAACGAAGCAUAUACCACUCUGUGUCAGUGAAACCUAGCCUACCAAACAAACAUCAUGCAUGUGUUAAUUAGUCAGGCUUUAGUUUUUUUUAUUCAACAUGCACAAGUUAGUACUGCUGCAAAUAGACAGAAACAGCAUGUACGUAUAAUUAUACGUUUAUACGUAUAGUAUCGGGUAAUAAAUAGCACAAACUAUAUACAAGUAUAUAGAUAGCUUUGCAGUUUGUAUAACACAGGCUAUGAUUAGAAAAUAAAACAAGAUGGGCUAAACACAAACGUCAAUUUGAGGGAUGCAUGAUUGUGUCCUUUGACUGACUAUAGUGGAGGCCUCAGUUGUGAAUUGCACCUACCAACUACCAACUAUACUUUUGUUGCAAAUCAAGAGAUCACAGAUGAGAAUGGAUUCACAAUAAAGUAUGUGAUUGUAUACACUCACUCAUCACUGGGGAGUGAGCCGUUGGAGAUUCUGUUGAACUGUGCCUCAAGACUGAAUAUACACACAUCCUCAACAUUCAUAGUUCAGAAAAGCAGGAUAAGACACUACCCACCCAUAGGCAUGCAAAUGUCACAUUCAAUUGUUUUUUCACAUGAAUAAAUACUUUUGUACAGUUACUGUGCAUGUACUUCAGACAUGCACAGCUGUCAACUGUUUCUUCCUUAACAAACACAACCACAUCUCCUGUGAAAUAGAAUAUGGCCAAGAUUGCAAUACCCUCGCUUAUGAGAGCAAAAAGAAUGGAGCUUCAAUUAAUGAGUCAGAUGUGGCUAUACUCCUCAAUGAGGUCUUACCAUCCACACAAUACUGAUUUGUCUUGACAGCUGAAAAUCAAACGUAUACUGUGAAAUUACAAGGACAAUUCACAGGAUACAGGGCAGAAAGCAUCCUCAGCACAAGCAUAUUUGCAAGUCUCAACAUCAUAGUAGCUCUGGUCUCACUGUAUACAAAAGUAAAUUUAGAUCCUAUAUGGUUCAGGAAAUCCCUGCUAGUAUAGUACUGUGUAAAGAAGGUCGUGUGUUAUGCUCAUGCAGUUAUUCAGUAGAUCUACAUCUUAUUAGCUCCAAUUUAAA